rnacentral:rRNA from 1 species
ACUACGGGCGGCAGCAGUGAGGAAUAUUGGUCAAUGGGCGGAAGCCUGAACCAGCCAAGUAGCGUGCAGGAUGACGGCCCUACGGGUUGUAAACUGCUUUUAUACGGGAAUAACGCGCCUUACGUGUAGGGCUUUGCAUGUACCGUAUGAAUAAGGACCGGCUAAUUCCGUGCCAGCAGCCGCGGUAAUACGGAAGGUCCGGGCGUUAUCCGGAUUUAUUGGGUUUAAAGGGAGCGUAGGCCGCAUGUCAAGCGUGCUGUGAAAUGUCCGGGCUCAACCCGGGCCUUGCAGCGCGAACUGGCGUGCUUGAGUCCGCGGAAAGCAGGCGGAAUUCGUCGUGUAGCGGUGAAAUGCUUAGAUAUGACGAAGAACCCCGAGUGCGAAGGCAGCUUGCUGCAGCGGAACUGACGCUGAUGCUCGAAAGCGCGGGUAUCGAACAGGAUUAGAUACCCGAGUAGUC